UACGGGGGGAGCAAGCGUUGUUCGGAUUUACUGGGCGUAAAGGGCGCGUAGGCGGCGCAACAAGUCACUUGUGAAAUCUCCGGGCUUAACCCGGAGCGGCCAAGUGAUACUGUCGUGCUAGAGUGCGGAAGGGGCUACUGGAAUUCUCGGUGUAGCGGUGAAAUGCGUAGAUAUCGAGAGGAACACCGAUGGCGAAGGCAGCCUCCUGGGCCAACACUGACGCUCAUGCACGAAAGCGUGGGGAGCAAACAGG
rnacentral:rRNA from 1 species